rnacentral:rRNA from 1 species
GAUGAACGCUGGCGGCGUGCCUAUACAUGCAAGUAGAACGCUGAAGCUUGGUGCUUGCACCGAGCGGAUGAGUUGCGAACGGGUGAGUAACGCGUAGGUAACCUGCCUGGUAGCGGGGGAUAACUAUUGGAAACGAUAGCUAAUACCGCAUAACAGUCGACAUUGCAUGAUGUUGAUUUGAAAGGGGCAAUUGCUCCACUACCAGAUGGACCUGCGUUGUAUUAGCUAGUUGGUGAGGUAACGGCUCACCAAGGCGACGAUACAUAGCCGACCUGAGAGGGUGAUCGGCCACACUGGGACUGAGACACGGCCCAGACUCCUACGGGAGGCAGCAGUAGGGAAUCUUCGGCAAUGGACGGAAGUCUGACCGAGCAACGCCGCGUGAGUGAAGAAGGUUUUCGGAUCGUAAAGCUCUGUUGUAAGAGAAGAACGAGUGUGAGAGUGGAAAGUCCACACUGUGACGGUAACUUACCAGAAAGGGACGGCUAACUACGUGCCAGCAGCCGCGGUAAUACGUAGGUCCCGAGCGUUAUCCGGAUUUAUUGGGCGUAAAGCGAGCGCAGGCGGUUAGAUAAGUCUGAAGUUAAAGGCUGUGGCUUAACCAUAGUACGCUUUGGAAACUGUUUAACUUGAGUGCAGAAGGGGAGAGUGGAAUUCCAUGUGUAGCGGUGAAAUGCGUAGAUAUAUGGAGGAACACCGGUGGCGAAAGCGGCUCUCUGGUCUGUAACUGACGCUGAGGCUCGAAAGCGUGGGGAGCAAACAGG